GGGAGGCAGCAGUGGGGAAUUUUCCGCAAUGGGCGAGAGCCUGACGGAGCAACGCCGCGUGAGGGAUGAAGGCCUCUGGGCUGUAAACCUCUUUUAUCAAGGAAGAAGAUCUGACGGUACUUGAUGAAUAAGCCACGGCUAAUUCCGUGCCAGCAGCCGCGGUAAU
rnacentral:rRNA from 1 species